rnacentral:lncRNA from 1 species
CAGCCCGUAGUUGAAUCGUGCUCAGCCGCCACUGAGGCAGCAUAGCCAGACUCUAUCGUAGUCGUAGUGAUGGUGUGCCUCUGAAGCUACCGUCAAAUGUGUUGAUCUUUACUGUUUAACAUCGAUGGAGAGAAGCUACGAACGGCCAAGCCACAUUCAAAGAAGAAAAUAUUAGCAACACAAGCACACAAGACUCUGUAAUGU